rnacentral:rRNA from 1 species
GACGAACCGUACGAACGUUAUUCGGAAUCACUGGGCGUAAAGCGUGCGCAGGCGGUGAUGUAAGACAGGUGUGAAAUCCCCGGGCUUAACCUGGGAACUGCAUUUGUGACUGCAUCGCUGGAGUGCGGCAGAGGGGGAUGGAAUUCCGCGUGUAGCAGUGAAAUGCGUAGAUAUGCGGAGGAACACCGAUGGCGAAGGCAAUCCCCUGGGCCUGCACUGACGCUCAUGCACGAAAGCGUGGGGAGCAAACAGG